rnacentral:rRNA from 1 species
CCUACGGGUGGCAGCAGUGGGGAAUAUUGCACAAUGGGGGAAACCCUGAUGCAGCGACGCCGCGUGCGUGAAGACGUAAUUCGUUAUGUAAAGCUCUAUCUGCAGGGAAGUAAAUGACGUUACCUGAGUAAGAAGCCCCGGCUAACUACGUGCCAGCAGCCGCGGUAAUACGGAGGGGGCCAGCGUUAUCCGGAUUUACUGGGUGUAAAGGGAGCGUAGGCGGUAGUGCAAGUCUGGUGUGAAAGGCGCGGGCUCAACCCGCGGAGUGCUGUGGAAACCGGACGGCUGGAGUGCGGGAGAGGUAGGUGGAAUUCGUAGUGUAGCGGUGAAAUGCGUAGAUAUGAGGAGGAACACCAGUGGCGAAGGCAGCUUACUGGACUGGAACUGACGUUGAGGCUCGAAAGCGUGGGGAGCGAACAGGAUUAGAUACCCGAGUAGUC